rnacentral:lncRNA from 1 species
CUUUGCCUUUGUCACCCUUGUCAUUGCUUCCCUUCUUUCCUUCUUCCCUUCUUUCCUUCUUCCCUUCUUUCUUGGCUUGCUUCUAUUUGUGCCUUGCUUGAAAAGCACCUUCAAAGACAUCUCCUUCCUUCAUAAUAGCCCUUUGCUCUUGAACUUACAACUUACUCAAAAGCUUAGAAAUUCUCAUAGUUUUAAGAUCACAAAAUUCUUUAAUUGCAGAAAUCUUGGACUCAAAC